GCAGUGGAGUAAGGAAGGAAAGACAACAGCUGGAAGUUAUCAUUGACAGUAUGAACACACACCCACACACACAGAGUCACACAGUCAGACCAGGCAAUGCAGGAAAGCCACGUCAGGUCAGCACAUGAAUUCACGGAAAAGGACUGAUAAAUUAAUGUGACACUUCACAUCAUCUGACACCAACUGACGCUGAAUUUACAAAGGGACAUCACCCAAGCUGAACUGCCACAGACUCGGAAGCAGCUGUAGAGCCGGAGUAUCUGCCGUCCCACUGAGAAAUCCAGAGCAUCACAACGCCCAGAGAAAUACAAGAUGGCUGCUGACCGUGUAGCUCAUCCUUUUGACUACGGGAGAACAAGGGACAGGGCAGCAUUCAGAGAGAAAACACUGCGUGUCAAUCAAGACACUCUAUAUUAUCAUACAGGUGCUGAUGGUCAAACAUGCAGCCUCAUGUAUUUCAGCACACGUUUAAUAAAAUGGCUGGAUACACUGAAGCAACAAUACCCUGAACUUGAGGAAACUCAACAGGAUGGUAAAAUCAUCCUUCAGUCCAAGGAAGGUUUCAUAACUUUAGAUCCGAGUGUAAAGGUUCAGGUACGUGGCAAUGUACUGAUGGAGAGGUUUGAGAGAGAUUUUCCACAAAUGGCACAAGCGGUCAGGCCAGGCUCUGACAAUGCUAACAAUAGAGCUCGUCCUUUUACAUACCCUGAUGACCGCGAACUCAACAACUAUGAGAGGGAGAGGUACAGAAAGGGAAUACUGCGUGACAAUGAAGACACUCUCUUUUAUGACACAAAGGCUGGUGCCAAAUGCAACCUCAUUUUCUCUAGCAAACAUGUACUAAAAUGGCUGGAUGAAAUGGAGAGAAACUAUCCUGACCUUCAGAAAAAAAAGCAGGACAAUAUGAUCAUACUCAAGCAUGAGACCCAGCCAGGUACCAUAAUCUUACAUCCUGAGGUAAAAGUUGUGGUAGAAGGCAAGCUAAUGGAGAGGUUUGAGAGAGAUUUUCCACAACCAGCUGACUUAGCAGCAGCAAUGGAAGGGUUAAACUUAAACAAUGAGGAAGAACAUCCUGAUGAGCCAGAGGGUGAGGGCACACUUGACACACCACCCAACCCACCAACUGAAGAGAAAGAAUGCCAGA